rnacentral:rRNA from 1 species
GGGCUUCGGCCUGGUGGCGAGUGGCGAACGGGUGAGUAAUGCGUCGGAACGUGCCGAGUAAUGGGGGAUAACGCAUCGAAAGGUGUGCUAAUACCGCAUACGCUCUGAGGAGGAAAGCGGGGGACCUUCGGGCCUCGCGUUAUUCGAGCGGCCGACGUCUGAUUAGCUAGUUGGUGGGGUAAAGGCUCACCAAGGCGACGAUCAGUAGCGGGUCUGAGAGGAUGAUCCGCCACACUGGGACUGAGACACGGCCCAGACUCCUACGGGAGGCAGCAGUGGGGAAUUUUGGACAAUGGGCGAAAGCCUGAUCCAGCCAUGCCGCGUGAGUGAAGAAGGCCUUCGGGUUGUAAAGCUCUUUUGUCCGGGAGGAAAUCCCGCAACCUAAUACGUUGCGGGGAUGACAGUACUGGAAGAAUAAGCACCGGCUAACUACGUGCCAGCAGCCGCGGUAAUACGUAGGGUGCAAGCGUUAAUCGGAAUUACUGGGCGUAAAGCGUGCGCAGGCGGUUUGAUAAGUCAGAUGUGAAAUCCCCGGGCUUAACCUGGGAACUGCGUUUGAAACUGUCAGGCUAGAGUACGUCAGAGGGGGGUGGAAUUCCACGUGUAGCAGUGAAAUGCGUAGAGAUGUGGAGGAACACCGAUGGCGAAGGCAGCCCCCUGGGAUGAUACUGACGCUCAUGCACGAAAGCGUGGGGAGCAAAC